rnacentral:ncRNA from 2 species
ACUACCAUGCCGGCCGCCGGUUUCCACAUGGGAUUAAUAGGGAAUCCGAGAUGCCCGACACGGCAUCAAUCGGAACUGCCCCCGCAACUGUAGGUGCUGAGCCUGCUCCUGAACUGCCACUGGGAUCACUCCCGGGAAGGCUGGAGCCAGGCGAUGACGCAUCAGUCAGGAGACCUGCCGGCCAAGCAAAUCACUA